CAAUAGCGUAUAUUAAAGUUGUUGCAGUUAAAAAGCUCGUAGUUGAAUUUCUGUCAGGAGUGACCGGGCCUUUGGAUGAACUUCCAUUGUUUUUUGCUCUGUUUGUCAUCUCUAGACAUCCUGAAAUAUUUUUUACAAAUAUUUCUCUUUUACUGUUAGCAAAAUAGAGUGUUCCAGGCAAAGCGUAGUUUUGAAUACAUUAGAAUGGAAUAAUAAGAUAGGACUUUGGUGCUAUUUUGUUGGUUUGCACACCAAGGUAAUGAUUAAUAGGGACAAUUGGGGGCAUUUGUAUUAACACGUCAGAGGUGGAAUUCUUGGAUUGUGUUACGACAAACUACUGCGAAAGCAUUUGCCAAGGAUGUUUUCAUUGA
rnacentral:rRNA from 1 species